UAAUUUUUGUUUUAGUUUUUUCCCUUGAGUUUGGCGGGUUUGUGUAUUUUCAGAUUCAGCUGUUUGAUGAUAUGCUAUAGCAGACGAAAAUUGAAUGUCGGAUUCUGAUUGGUUGGUUGACGCUACGGGCUGAACUCUCAUUGGUUGAAAGAAACCGGGUCGUCUGCUAAAACCAUCUUCCGUGAAGAAAUCAGGGAAAUUUUAGCAAAUGAUAAUAAACAACGUAAAUAUUAAUGGAGUUUUUAAACGUGUGAAGCUUAGAUUUAUGUCAAAGGUUACUGUGUUCAUCAACCAUAGCAUGAUAGCAGUUCAAACAAAUCCACCAGACUGUGUACACGGUAACGGUACAUGCUGAGAACUAUCUGUGCAGUACUGCAGCGGCUGUAAAGUUACAGAUAUUAGGAAAAUUAUAGCCGAUUUAAAACGUCAGGUAUGCAUGUGGUGGGGUUGAUCUUCUUCUGCUUGAGCUUAUGGGAGAAUGUCUGGGCGGGAGAAGAUGAAGGACCAGGAAAUCCU